rnacentral:tRNA from 1 species
UCCAGGGUAGCCUAGUGGACAUGGCAUCUGCCCGGUAAGCGGAACAUUGUGGGUUUGGUUCCCAUCCCUGGAC